UACGUGGGGUGCGAGCGUUAAUCGGAAUUACUGGGCGUAAAGCGUGCGCAGGCGGCUUUGCAAGACAGAUGUGAAAUCCCCGGGCUCAACCUGGGAACUGCAUUUGUGACUGCAAGGCUAGAGUACGGCAGAGGGGGAUGGAAUUCCGCGUGUAGCAGUGAAAUGCGUAGAUAUGCGGAGGAACACCGAUGGCGAAGGCAAUCCCCUGGGCCUGUACUGACGCUCAUGCACGAAAGCGUGGGGAGCAAACAGG
rnacentral:rRNA from 1 species